rnacentral:rRNA from 1 species
UACGGGGGGGGUAAGCGUUGUUCGGAAUUACUGGGCGUAAAGGGCUCGUAGGUGGCCAACUAAGUCAGACGUGAAAUCCCUCGGCUUAACCGGGGAACUGCGUCUGAUACUGGAUGGCUUGAGGUUGGGAGAGGGAUGCGGAAUUCCAGGUGUAGCGGUGAAAUGCGUAGAUAUCUGGAGGAACACCGGUGGCGAAGGCGGCAUCCUGGACCAAUUCUGACGCUGAGGAGCGAAAGCCAGGGGAGCAAACGGG